rnacentral:rRNA from 1 species
CGUGGGGAACCUGCCCCAUAGUCUGGGAUACCACUUGGAAACAGGUGCUAAUACCGGAUAAGAAAGCAGAUCGCAUGAUCAGCUUUUAAAAGGCGGCGUAAGCUGUCGCUAUGGGAUGGCCCCGCGGUGCAUUAGCUAGUUGGUAAGGUAAAGGCUUACCAAGGCGAUGAUGCAUAGCCGAGUUGAGAGACUGAUCGGCCUACAUUGGGACUGAGACACGGCCCAAACUCCUACGGGAGGCAGCAGUC